GCCACGCUCCCCUCUGUCAUCAGGGGAUUUCUAAGGUUUCACGUCUACUUCACCACCCGGAGGAUACUCUACGAGUAUUAUUUUUGAGUGCUCAGGGGGCUGUAUCCGCGUUGUGCAUCGAUCAGGUUAACGGCUGCAUUGUGGCAGGAAUUCAGGAAGUGAUCAGGUCGUAAAAGAUCAACAAAAGAUAACAAGGAACAAUCAGAAGAUGCAAACAGUUAGGUGCAAGAUGAACAUGAACAGUGAGACCAAUGCAAGAUACUUUUUAAGAUUGUACAAAGGAAUAUUAUAUUUUAAAAUGAAAGAUGUAACAUGAUUUUUUUAAAUUCUUAGCAUUAAAGCACUCCUGAAGUCUA